GACGAACGCUGGCGGCGUGCUUAACACAUGCAAGUCGAACGGAAAGGCCCUGCUUUUGUGGGGUGCUCGAGUGGCGAACGGGUGAGUAACACGUGAGUAACCUGCCCUUGACUUUGGGAUAACUUCAGGAAACUGGGGCUAAUACCGGAUAGGAGCUCCUGCUGCAUGGUGGGGGUUGGAAAGUUUCGGCGGUUGGGGAUGGACUCGCGGCUUAUCAGCUUGUUGGUGGGGUAGUGGCUUACCAAGGCUUUGACGGGUAGCCGGCCUGAGAGGGUGACCGGCAACAAUGGGACUGAGAUAAGGACCAGACUCAUAAGGGAGGCAGCAGUGGGGAAUAUUGCACAAAGGGCGGAAGCCUGAUGCAGCAACGAAGCGUGCGGGAUGACGGGCUUCGGGUUGUAAACCGCUUUCGCCUGUGACGAAGCGUGAGUGACGGUAAUGGGUAAAGAAGCACCGGCUAACUAAGUG
rnacentral:rRNA from 1 species